rnacentral:rRNA from 1 species
GAGGAAUAUUGGUCAAUGAGCGCAAGCCUGAACCAGCCAUCCCGCGUGCAGGAAGACGGCCCUAUGGGUUGUAAACUGCUUUUCCAGGGGGAGAAACUUGCGCACGUGUUGCGCAAUUGACGGUACCCUGGGAAUAAGCAUCGGCUAACUCCGUGCCAGCAGCCGCGGUAAUACGGAGGAUGCGAGCGUUAUCCGGAUUCAUUGGGUUUAAGGGUGCGUAGGCGGACUAUUAAGUCAGUGGUGAAAUCCUGCAGCUUAACUGCAGAACUGCCAUUGAUACUGAUAGCCUUGAGUUUGGUUAAGGUAGGCGGAAUGUGUAAUGUAGCGGUGAAAUGCUUAGAUAUUACACAGAACACCAAUUGCGUAGGCAGCUUACUGAGCCGACACUGACGCUGAGGCACGAAAGCGUGGGGAUCGAACAG